UACGUAGGGUGCAGGCGUUAAUCGGAAUUACCGGGCGUAAAGCGUGCGCAGGCGGUUUGCUAAGACAGGUGUGAAAUCCCCGGGCUUAACCUGGGAACUGCGCUUGUAACUGGCAAGCUAGAGUGUGGCAGAGGGGGGUGGAAUUCCAGGUGUAGCAGUGAAAUGCGUAGAGAUCUGGAGGAACACCGAUGGCGAAGGCAGCCCCCUGGGCUAACACUGACGCUCAUGCACGAAAGCGUGGGGAGCAAACAGG
rnacentral:rRNA from 1 species